UUGGAUUUGUAAUCACCAAGUGCAUCAUUUUGUAUUCAAAAUUCUCAACACAUCAUUUUGUAUUCAAAAUUCUCAAUACAUCAAAUUAGAGGAAUCAAGGUGCUCCAUCAUUUCGUGUUCAAUUUGUUAACUAGCUAUUUAUGUUGCAUUUUACAAUAUUAUCUUCUACUAACACAUGAUGCUACUAGCUAGACUCGUCUCAUGCUCGAUCUCUGUCCCGUAACAGGCAUAGCACAACAUGUUCUUUUAAAUUGUAGCUGAGGUUCCUCACCAUAGUGUCAUAUUUCCUGUGAAAAGGAAUUGGAUAACCAAUUUAAUUUUGCUCUUUCAUGUUGUGUUCCACAUAACAAUUCAAUUUAUGCAUUGUAUACAGUCAUUCACACAUUCUAACCAAAUGACAGCAAAUAACAGUUCAAUUUAGACAUCCUAGUGCAUAAGUCAAUCACACCAAAUAACAAUUCAAUUUAGACAUCCCAAUAGCAACUAAAAAACACAAAAUUAGGGAGUUUGUGUAACUUAAAUACCAUAUACACUCUGUAACACUUAAUAAAUAAAUAAAAACUUACUAAUAAUAUCAAUAAAUUGCAGGUUCAGACAUAAUUUUCAAGAAAAAUAACCAAUAUACAGCAAAAUGCUUCUUGCGGAAGAAGUUUGACAGCUUCUUCCGCGAGCAGAAAAUGCACUCUACGGAAGAAGGUGUUCUUCCGCGAGUGUAACAACACGGAAAUGGAGUCAGCGGAAUAAGGUGUUCUUCCGCGGGCUCCUGCGGAAGAAACUAAAAAGGUUCUUCCGCGGGUGCCAGCGGAAGAACUUUUCACAUUUCUUCCGCAGGAGCUCGCAGAAGAACACCUUCUUCCGCUGAAUCCAUUUCCGUCCCCUAACACACGCGCGGAAGAAGCUUCUUCCCGCGGAAGAACUUCGUGUUCAAUCUCCAGCACCAAACAACAACAAUGUCGUCUAUCCUAAGGCCAUUAACGUUAUUCUAACAGUAAUCCAAAGCCAAUGGAGUUAGAACACUAACCUCGAUGGCGGAAGAAACGCUUAAACAACCCAAUGAAGAACUCCAAGGGACGCAACCAAAAUGGAGAAGAAGACUGCUGCAAGGAACACUGCUACGAGGAGGAAGAAGACUGCUGCGAGGAAGCCCAUGGAAGAACACGAACGAGGAAGGGAGCGCGGAAGAACACGAACGAGGAAGCUGAAGAAGAAAGGGGAAGAAGGGGAGAAAAUGCUGGGUGCACGGAAC
rnacentral:lncRNA from 1 species